UACGGGAGGCAGCAGUGGGGAAUAUUGCACAAUGGGCGAAAGCCUGAUGCAGCUAUGCCGCGUGUAUGAAGAAGGCCUUAGGGUUGUAAAGUACUUUCAUCGGGGAGGAAAAACAAAACUAAUAAUUUUAUUUCUUGACGUUACCCGAAAAAGAAGCACCGGCUAACUCCGUGCCAGCAGCCGCGGUAAUACGGAGGGUGCUAGCGUUAAUCAGAAUUACUGGGCGUAAAGAGCACGUAGGUGGUUUUUUUAAGUCAGAUGUGAAAUCCCUGGGCUUAACCUGGAACUGCAUUUUGAAACUGAAAUACUAGAGUAUCGUAGAGGGAGGUAGAAUUCUAGGUGUAGCGGUGAAAUGCGUAGAUAUCUGGAGGAAUACCUGUGGCGAAAGCGGCCUCCUAAACGAAUACUGACACUGAGGUGCGAAAGCUGGGGAGCAAACAGGGAUUAGAUACC
rnacentral:rRNA from 1 species